GAUAAGAAUAGUUUUUUAUUUGAAUUUUCUUGAGAAAUUAUGUAAAAACUUAUUUUGUAAAUUGAGUGAUUAAGAUGUAUCAACAUGAUUACUUAAUUUGCAUCAUUACCCUUUAAUUUAGUUGAAUAGAAAGUCUCCCUUUUGCCAUACUCAAUGUACUCUAACUAAAAGUGUCCAUUUUUGCCCUUUCCAUUAGACUGUGUUUUUGAGCACGAUGUGAUGGUUUCCUUGUCUUUAUAUCCUGACUACUUAAUAUAGUACCUGCAACUUCAAGAAUGUUAAUUGCAAUGAGCAGUGUAUUAAAAAAGAGGGGUACUUUGGAACCAUCAAGGUGGCCCUGAGAUUGUUGUGCUUGCUUGGACAUGAGAGAAUCACCUAGGAGCAAUGCUUCCUUACAAUAGAGUGGUAUUAGAGAAAUGGGCUUUCCAUGUAUUCUGUUCUUUCAAGACUGAUCCAUGUGGUACCAUGAAAGUGCUAGCAGAUGUUUGGGGAAGAAAAUGUGUAGUUCACAUCUGCCUAUACACCAUCUUCUGUAACCUCACUUUGACAAAACGGGGUUGGAUUGUGGACACUGUCGUCUCUCAUUUAACAGUGAGUGUAUGUUCGCAAAGAGGUAUUCUUUCCUACUAUGACUACAAAAUUUGGGUAAUUAAUAUGCACUGCGUACUGGGAUGUAUUGAUGAACGGUGGGACCUCAUUCCUACAUUCAGAGUUUAAACUUUAUGGGAGAAACAAAAAAUUAACCAAGAAAUUACAAUAAAUUGCUAUGAGAUUGAUCACAGGGGUAAUACACAAUCCUAGGAAGUAAGGCAUCUGGAAGACUUACCCAAGAUAAGGCUAACAAGUGGUCAGAACCAAGAUUAUGCAAGAUUUUAAAAACCAGGUUAAGUUAUUGAGACUUUAUUCGAAGGACUGGAAUUAUUGGAUUUUAGGCAGGAAAUGACAUAAUUAGAUUUGCAGUUUUGGAAGGAAAUUUUGCUUAUAUGUGUGGUAAUCAUAUAAUUUGUUAUUCAAAACAGGAAACUCUGGAGAAUCAAAAGGGGGUGCAAUUGCUAAUUUUGUUGGGACGAUGUGUUAUACAUUUGGGCUGUCCUGGACAAACUCGGAUGUAUGGUUACCCCAUAUCUAGGGGCCUGCAAUGGAACAAGACAGAGACUAAUGUUAAUACACACAGCCUUCCUCUGCCUUGGAUGCCAGUGAGUACAUCCUUCCAGAGCUUUCUUGAAUGUCAGUUUUUCGGCUUCUGCCAAUAUACUGUGAUGUACACGCUUGCUAAAGAUUCAAACGGUGUUUCUUGGAGCUUGGAGGACCCUGGAAUAGCACAGAGACGGUGUGAGCUCUGGGCUGGGAAAGGAGGGUCAUGCCCUAUUUUGCGUAUCUGUGUCAGUGUUUGCAGGACUCACAACAGUACAAACCCUCAGUAA
rnacentral:lncRNA from 12 species